rnacentral:rRNA from 1 species
UACGUAUGGAGCAAGCGUUAUCCGGAUUUACUGGGCGUAAAGGGAGCGCAGGCGGCGCGCCAAGUCUGAUGUGAAACCCCGGGGCUCAACCCCGGGCAUGCAUUGGAAACUGGCGGGCUGGAGUGCCGGAGAGGUAAGCGGAAUUCCUAGUGUAGCGGUGAAAUGCGUAGAUAUUAGGAGGAACACCAGUGGCGAAGGCGGCUUACUGGACGGCAACUGACGCUGAGGCUCGAAAGCGUGGGGAGCAAACAGG